rnacentral:rRNA from 1 species
UACGUAGGGUGCAAGCGUUAAUCGGAAUUACUGGGCGUAAAGCGUGCGCAGGCGGUUUUGUAAGACAGAGGGGAAAUCCCCGGGCUCAACCUGGGAACUGCCUUUGUGACUGCAAGGCUAGAGUACGGCAGAGGGGGAUGGAAUUCCGCGUGUAGCAGUGAAAUGCGUAGAUAUGCGGAGGAACACCGAUGGCGAAGGCAAUCCCCUGGGCCUGUACUGACGCUCAUGCACGAAAGCGUGGGGAGCAAACAGG